rnacentral:RNase_P_RNA from 1 species
GCGGAUGGCCGGAUGGCCGCGUGGGCGGUAACGCCUGCGAGGAAAGUCCGGACUCCAUGAGGCAAGGGUGCCGGGUAACGCCCGGCGGGGGCAACCCCAGGGAAAGCGCCACAGAGAACAGUCUGCCCCAUCGGCCGCAAGGUCCGGGGUGAUGGUGAAACGGCGGGGUAAAAGCCCACCGCAGGUCUGGCAACAGAACUGGCACGGCAAGCCCCACCCGGAGCAAUGCCGAA